GGUGGUUCUAACGACGAUAUAUUGAACUUUCAAGUUCUAUAAAAGGGUCCUUUUCGCUCAAGUGUAAGAAACACUCCCUCACCCCCAUAGUGUAGUGGUCUGGUGUCUCUCCCUCCCUGGCAUGAAGAAUGCAUGGUACCUCUAGUUGUCGGAUGGAUGUUCCGGCCACUACUUUUAGGCUUUUCUCUAGGGUUGUAAUUGUUUGGGAAGUCUGCAAUGGUGAAGUACUAGAUUCACAUAAAAUAGAUAUCUGGGUUCUUCAAGGGUACUAUUUCCAGUGCUUUUACAACCAACCAGUUCAAAGGAAGCAAAUGCGCUCCAGUGAGGAUGACCUACUUUGCCCACGUGCUUCUCCUUCUCUGUUGCCACUAUUGUUCAGUGGGUUAGGGAUUCAUCUGCGUUCCCUUAACAAAUUGAAUGCAAGUGAUGGUUCAUUCAAGCUCUCAGGAAACAUCUCAGGUCCUGAUGUUUACACAGUGAAGGUAUACAGGCCCAAAUUGAUGGAUAAGAGAUGUGAAAAGAAUCUUAAGAAUUAUUUGAUACCAUGAGCAAUGCUCUUCUCUAGGGUGGAUGGGAACUCGCAUAAAUGAAUUGAUGCUGGAAAUCGAGGUAAAAUGGAUGAGCUUAUAAGGAAGAAGAAGAGUAGUAGAAAUCAUUCACCUCCUCCAUUUUACCAAGGCAAGAAUAAGUUCUUUGCCAUGGGUGAGUCUACAAGAAAGGCAGCAGGAAAUCACAGUAUUAAGACUGUUCAUGAUGUGCCACUCAUGCUUGAAACUAGAGCAGUAAGUAGACUGCAUCAUUCUGCAGAAGCUAUCUGCUGGGAGCUUCCACAGCAGUCAUCCCAUCAAUGUGAUCAAUCUUCCACCCCAAGUUGUGGUGACGGGUUUUUCUGUGAUGAAAUUUAAUGUUAUCCAAUUUCUUGGGAGGCCAAGUGUGAAAAGGGAACUUGUUAACAUCUGGAAUAGCAAAUUGCAAGCUCAAGGGGAGUGCACAUGUACACGCGAUGGGGAGUUAAAAGAAGAAUUUGCACCAACAAAAACUAAAAAUUUCGUAGAUUCUGGGAUACAAUGGAGGGACGUCCGGACAUUACAAACAGUGCUGGAACAGACAAUCUUAAUAAUUAGUAUACUGUACUCAGUGUCACUCCUGACGUCUUGCAUUUUGUUGGCAAUUCAUUGGUUCCUGAUACCAUUGAUAAAAACUUCCCGGAGGGUGCCAAAGUUCUCCAACAGGUUGAUAAGAAGUUUAUUCCGAUUGUGGCGAGCACAACACCUGAUAUAACUGAUCAGGUCUAUUUUGUCCUUUGCAUAAUUGGCCAUUUUUGGUUUCUCAUGAAUUUCCUUAUAAUGCAUUUACUUUAAACGAUUGUUUCUCUUAGGGAUCAUUUGGUUGGACUCAUUAGCAAAUAUAAAUCUCAGCAUAAACUUCCGCAUAAAUAGUAUAACAUUUGUUGGCCACAUAAGAAAAAGUAAUAUCCAAAUAACUAUGUGCACUCAGUUAUCCGCAUAAGAAAAAAUAAGCUCAACAUAACUAAUGCAACAUUUGGUUGAGGGUAUUUACUGUUCAUUAUUAAUAUCCUCAUGACUUGUGAUUUUAUGAUUUUACUAUGUAUUUAAUGGAGAUAUAUGGAGUUGUUUUUGAAGGCCCCACUCGCACAACUCUAAAAAAAUUUAGUUUAAUUAUAAGAAGUUGUUGGUUAAUGAUAUUUUGGGAAAAGUUCCUUAUUUUGGUCUUUCUCCUCUGUGUUAUAGGCAAACUGAUGCUUGCAGCCAUGCUGGGUUUGAAUGCUUUUGAGCUAAUCGUGUUUUGGUGUCGCAAAAUUCAAUUUUUUUUGUCACUAAAUCACCCUUUUGGUGAAAUUACACGGCCUUCUACUUUUCUUGUUCUUAUAACUCUCUCUGGUAAAACUCAAAAAACAAUUUAACAUGUUCUCUCUUGAGCUGAAAAACUGUUGCUUGGCAUGGCACCUCAUGUGGGUAUCUGAUAUUUAGGAGAAAGUUCCAUUUCAUGGUACAUCUUCUCUGUCUCAUAAGGCUAACUGAUGCUUGCAGCCAUGACAGAUUUCAAAGCUUUUCAGUUGAUUCGUGUUUUGUCUUGGAAAAGUUCAGUUUCCUUAUCCCCCUCACCGAACCACCCUAUUCGUGAAAUUACACAUGACCUUCCUCUUUUCUUGUUCUUAUUACUCUCUCUGCUCGGUUUUAUAAAUCAUGAGGAUUUGGAGGUAUUGUCUUCCGUGGAAGUUCAAUAAAACUUGUUGUCUAACACUGAUUAAACUGUUGCUUGGCACGGCACCAUGAAAUGGAACUUUCUCCAAACUAUCAUAUACCCCUUUUCUUUCCCAUCCCUGACCGAAUCACCCUUUUUGUGAUAUUACUCAUGCAUUCCCUCUUUUCUUAUUCUUAGUACUUCCUCAGCUCUGUUUUAUACAAAAUGAAGAGUUGGAGGUUUUCAUCCAUCUAUGUUCAGUCAAACAUGUUUCCUGUCAAGCUAAAGAACUGUUGCUUGCCACGGUACUGGAGAUGGGUCUAUGAAUUUUUGGGAGAAGUUCCAUUCUUUUUGUCUUUCUUCUCUGUCUCGAAGGAAAACUGAUGCUUGCAGCCAUGCUGGAUUUCAAAGCUUUUGAGAUAAUCAUGUUUGAGCGUUGCAAAAUUUAACUUUUUUUUUGUCGGUAAAUUACCCUUUUUGUGUAAUUACAGAGCCUUCUACUUUUCUUGUUCUUGUUACUCUCUUUUGUAUAACUAAAAAAAAGCAAUUUUAACAUGUUCUCUCUUGAGCUGAAAAACUGUUGCUUGGCAUGGCACCUUGGGUGGGGUAUAUGAGAUUUAGGAGAAAGUUCUAUUUUAUGGUGCAUCUUCUCUGUCUCAUAAGGUACUAACUGAUGCUUGCAGCUAUGACAUAUUUCAAAGCUUUUGAGUUGAUUUGUGUUUUGUCUUGGCAAAGUUCAGUUUCGUCCCCCCCCCCCAAACCACCCAUUUCGUGGAAUUACACAUGACCUUCCUCUUUUUCUUAUUUUUAUUACUCUCUAUGCUCUGUUUAUAAACCAUGAGGAUGUGGAGGUUUUGUCUUGCGUGGAAGUUCAAUAAAACUUGUUUUCUCUCAAGAUGAUUGAACUGUUGCUUGGCACAACACCUCGGGACUCAGGUGGGUCUACGAGAUUUUGGAAUUAAAUUUCCAUUUCAUGGUGUUUCUUCUCCAUCUCAUCAGGCUAACUAAUGCUUGUAGCCACAAUGGAUUUCAAUGCUGUUGAGCUAAUCGUGUUUUGGCUUAGGCAAAGAUAAGUUCUCUUUUUUCACCAAACCACCCUUUUGGUGAAAUUACAAAUGACCUUCCAUUUUUCUUAUUUUUAUUACUCUCUCCAGUAUAACUCAAAAUGACAAUCAAACAUGUUCUCUCUUGAGCUAAAAACUGUUGCUUGACAUGGCAUCUUAUGUUCUUCUUUUUAUGUUUGUUAUUCUUAUAAGUUGUGUACUCCCGGUUUAAACUUUAGCCCAGUCUACACCAGGUAUCUGUCUCUAUAGGCAUUGGGACCCGCUAUGUUAAGGUGAAUGACAAUGGUAAGUGUUAGCAUCUUUGACAUUGAUCUAAUGCAUUUUGAUGUGCAGAAAAUUCUUUGUAAAUAUAUUUUUUGUUGAUUACUACUGUAUGUAAAGAUGUUUGGAUUAUUUAUUCUAGCUGAAGUUGAGCUGGAACAUACAUAUUGUUGCUUAGGUAUUUCUAGCCCAACUUAUGGAAACCGUAUAUGUGCCUGUUUCUUUCAUCUUUGGUUAUGCUUCCUUUUUGUCUAGCCAUUUUAACUAUGGUUUCGUAUGCUUCCUUUACACCAGUGACAUCAAAAUACAGCCAUUCAUAUGAUAAGCAUGCUUUCCCAGCAAGCUUUGGUUUUAAAAGAGAGGCUUUGAGCUCUUUCUGACGUUUCUUUGUUGGAAAUUGUUACUAAAGCUCACGGGAGGCCAAAUGGAUAUCGUAAGGUUUUGAAGGUAAGGUUCUUUUGAGAUUUAGUUGGUAGUAUCCAUUAGGAUAAGUAUAAAACUACUAACUUGGUCUUUGUUGACAACAAGUGUUUUUUCCUUGGAAUUGAUGAUUGUAGACAAAAUGUUGGUACACCAGUCAUUGUUCGUGAUAUAUUUACAACCAACCAGUUCGAAGGAAGCAAAUGCACUCCAAGCCAAAGAAGGUCAUUCAUUCUCUGAAAGAGUCUCUGCUAAGAAUCGCCCUUGUGCAUCCCAGUGUCUCCAAAAUUGUUGAUAUAGAAAGGCCUGUGAGGAUGACGUGCUUUGCACGCAUUCUUCUUCUUCUCUGUUGCCACUACUGUCCAGUGAGUUUGGGAUUUAUCAAAGUGAGGUUGACCUGCUUUGCACACGUGCUUCUCCUUCUCCGUUGCCACUAUUGUUUGGUGGGUUGGGAUUCAGUAAAGUGAGGUUGACCUGUUUUGCACACGUGCUUCUCCUUCUCCAUUGCCACUAUUGUCCAGUGGGUUUGGGAGUCAUCUGAGUUCCCUUAACAAAUUGAAUGCAAGGGAUGGUUCAUUCAAGCUCUCAGGAUACAUUUCAUGUCCCGAUGUUUACACAAUGAAGGUAUACGGGCCCAAAUUGAUGGAUAAGAGAUGUGAUAAAUAUCAAUUCAAGAUUUGUUUCCAAAGGACCAAUACAUAAAUUACUUAAUAAUAUAGCUAUGAGUUUAGACAGUGCUUUUGACAUUUUGAAGCGAAGUAGAUCUCAGAUAUAUCCACUGUUUCUGUUGAACCUAAACUUUCCUAGAUCUUUUAUAUGAUUUGACUUUGGAGCCUUCAAAGACCUCUGUGGAAUUUAAGGUGAGAUUUUUUGUUGGGAUUUAUGAUUUAAUUUGUUUUGGGGUUGGGAAAAGAAUGUGAGGUUUUGGAUUUAUUUUAUAGAAUUUUUUUUCUUAAUUUAAAAGUGGGCAUGAGCUCAUUUAUUAAAUUAAAAGGAACCAACAAUAUUUACAAUGACCAGGCCCAACUGAAACCCGGUCCAACAAAUAACUAAAGCAAAAACAAAAGUAAAACUAAAAAUAGAAACAAACAGGAAAUCAAGUCUCAGACAAACAAUCUGAGACCUGAUGCUUGUCGAAGCAGCUCAAUCCUUCUCUCUUCAUCUUCUUUGAAGGCUGCGAGUUAGAGAGUUUUUCCCCAUGGAUAAGAUUCAGGUAAGCUCCAGUAUAAACCUCUUCUGCUACAACAACCUCUCCAUGAAAUGCUAAAUCAAGCAACACCAAGCUUAGCUGAAUUUCAGAACCAUUGAACUGGCGCAGUGGCGCAUAUCCCUUGUUGAAUCAUCGAGGUAAGUAGAUCAGAACUGAAAUGACCUGCUGUGAAGACUUCUUAUCUAGAAAUAAUCAAUUCCUGCUUUCUACAGUCAGACAUUACGAUAAUUAAAUCAAAAUUGAGGCUCAAUCAACCUAGCUAAGAUUAGUAAGUGUUUUUAUUUUUGUGAGAAUUGGUUUGAGUUGUUUUCUGUAAAAUAAAUUUCAGUACACUUAAAUCAUUUUUUGAAACUUCAAUAUGGGUGAAAUUAAUAGGUUAAAAGUGGCUAAACAUCAUUAUUUAUUACAAAUCAUAUAGGAUUUUGAAGUAUUAAAAAGGACCCCCUGACCGACAAGGUCCUUGCAUUACAGCUGUUCCCGCAGAACAAAAAAAUCUCCCUAUUCUUAUGGGAGAACAAUGCAAAACCAUGUUUUCUAGCUACUUUUGGUUGCAAAACCAAAUAGGCCAAUGUUAAGAAGGACAUGUCAUACAUAUUUGUUUUAGUGAUUGGAGUACUGUAUUUCGUAUUACAAUGUGUUUGCUGUUUUCCAGGACUGACAAUUCUUCCAGUUUGAACUUGUCUCCUGGUUUUUGCUUACCUGAUCAUUUCUGCUUCCGUUUAACUGGAUUUUGCAAUUUCCCUCAAAAUGUAUGUCAAUUUUCAUAGAUCUAGAUAUUUGCUACAUCAAUCUUCUUGGAGCCUUGCUGUCUUUUGGAGAUGGUGACAUCCAGCUAUAUAUUGAUUUGCUGAUUUCUGGCCCAAGAUUUUUUUUUGAAAUGAUAUGGUUCUUUUUCGUUUCUCUCUUAGUUUUCGACUGCAGACGAUGGACUAGAUCAAACUUGAGAACUGUUGCACUUUUUAGGAUUACAUUGUCUGAUUCUGUAGACAUUUUUCUAUGAACUGGAUAGGAAGCUAUUGACUUCUAUGCCAUGUUAUUUUUUAGAUAUGCUGGUUAUACCAGUUCAGGAUUUCUACGUUGUAUACCAUAUUUAGGUUAACAGAGGUGUGGUUUGACUUAUCACCACAAAAAGAAAGGAAAAAGAGGGGAGAGGGGGAAGAGGCGAAGUGUGGUUCUUGUUUGUCUAUUAGAACGUGUCACUUGUUCAUUUUUGUUCCAUGUUAGAUGUGCAAUCUAAUUGCCUGAAAUGAUGUGUAGCAUUUUACUCCCUUUGUUGGCACCAUUGAUACUGAUUGUGUUAAUCUCAUAAAGCUAUUUUGAUGUGUUUUACAAGAAUCUCAGCUUCGGGUCCAUACUUCUCCACAAGCCCUACUCUCAGAGAAAAAUGGCCACAUCCAAUAAAUGACAUCUUUCCAGCCAACCUACUAUCAGCAAGUAUGCAAAAGCCACUCAGCUUCAGAUCCAUACUCCUCCACAAGCCCUACUCUCAGAGAAAAAUGGCUGAUGCAAUUGCUGUCUUUAGUCAACAAAGUAAAUGAGACUAAAGUGCAGGGGGAGGACUUGUAUAACAUUUACAACCUUACAGGGUUGAAAUGAGACCAAUCAGCAGGUAUUAGUACUGCAGAAGCUUAUAGCAUGGGCACGAUAUGAAAUGUAGUAAGGAGAUUUUAGUAGAAUCACAACCAUAAGUCUUAUGUAUUAACUCACUUCAGUAAAAUAAUAUAACGAGUGGCUACAGAAUA